AAAAAAAAUGACAACUCUGAAAGUCGUCUGCUGGAUAACCGGGACAUUCUCGUAUUGGAACCGGAAAUCAACGCUAAUGCAUAACAAACUGAAAAGCGAUCAGCAGUUUAUCAAACAAUUUUGUCAUUUUCAAAGUACAGUUAGGCUACGCAAUUUGCAGUCGUCUGAUUGUUUGGUCGACCGAUCGUCCCUCUGCGCCCACAUACUGUAAGCGACUAAACAGUCGGCUGAUAACUCAUUUUCUAGGUCAAUUGUACCAAUUUUUUACCAUAGUUUGGCAAACUUCUAUCCAAAGUUGAGCGAUUAAAUUCCUAUUAGAAUGUUCUUUCACAAAUAAUUUCAGAUUUAAAAAUUAUA
rnacentral:lncRNA from 1 species